GCGGAUCGAAGCGCUGAAUGAAAAGUGUCUCGGCGGAGGCGGCUCCCCAGCGGCCCCUCCUCGCGGGGGGCUGGGUGCGAGCGAGUUACCCGCACGCGUGCGGCGCUGAUCCCGCCGUCUCCGCUGCCCUGCCCCGGGUGGGGCCGGCGUUCGCCCCCGCCCAGGAGCGCCUUUCGGUGGCAUUAAUCCGGAGCAGUAAUCGGGCGCUUCCUGCAACACGUCUCCGGGGGCAGAUAAUCCCGGGCCAAGCUGUCCCGAGAGGAGAUUGCCUCGCCCGGGGGCUGGAUCAGCCGGCUGCCGCGGAUCAGCGGGGUCAGGGCUGAGCAGGCGAGUCUCCCAGCCAUGAGGGGCUGCUGGGGGAGCAGCGAGCUCGCUCCCGCUAAGCGGCUUAGCCCCCGGCAGAUGUUGCCAAGCUCCCAGCCAGCCCCGAUCAUUGGCGGAGGGAGAGGCCGAGAGGGCCGGGAAACACCUCUGGCUCGGGGGGAAGAGGAGGGGGCUUGCACUGGUGCCUGGCACCCUCCGCCUUGCACCAUGCGGGGGGAGUGAAGAGUUGCACGGCGGCGUCUCGCCUCAGCAGGGGAGCUCCGGCCCCCGGCGGAGGGGAGCUCGGCAGCUGGAGUGGAGGGAGUUUGUCUCCGAUCGCCCCCUUCCUCCUCCUCCUCUCGCACCCUCUGCUGCUCUUGCUGCCAGGCUGGGGCAGCGCUUGCCUGUGGUAGGGGGAGAUGGCGAAAAUCAGGGUGUCUUACGAGUACACAGAAGCCGAAGACAAAAGCAUCCGGCUCGGCUUGUUCCUGAUCGUCUCUGGCAUCGUGUCGCUCUUCAUCCUGGGUUUCUGCUGGCUCAGCCCCGCUUUGCAAGAUUUGCAAGGCAAAGCUGCCAACUGCACGGUGCUCUCGGUGCAACAGAUCGGGGAGAUGUUUGAAUGCACGUUCACGUGUGGCACGGACUGCAAGGGCACCUCGCUGUACCCCUGCCUCCAGAUCUACGUCAACAACUCGGAGUCCAACUCCAGGGCGCUGCUGCACCAGGACGAGCACCAGCUCAUCACCAACCCUAAGUGUUCAUACAUCCCUCCCUGUGAAAGAGAAAAUCAGAAGAAUUCUGAAAUUGUCACACACUGGCAGGAAUACUGGAAAGUGGAAGUGGGUUCACAGCCAUUUACAUGUUAUUUUAAUGAGCAUCUAAGACCAGAUGAUGUGCUGCUUAGGCGUACCCACGAUGAGACGGUCCUCUUGCAUUGCUUUCUCUGGCCUCUGGUUACUUUCCUGGUAGGAGUCCUAAUUGUGGUCCUGACAAUCUGUGCAAAGAGCUUGGCCGUCAAAGCAGAGGCAAUAAAAAAGAGGAAACACUCAUAAAUGGAAAAGUCACUGAAGGAAAAGGAAAAAGUUGUAAGAAAGUCGAAAGUGACAAAUUCGACAUACCUGCGCCUCCAGUGCACCCAGACAUGCCCGUUGCCAAGGUCUUGUCAGGCUUUGGUGUUGCUGAUGCCUGAGGAUUAUUCUUGGGGGACAGCUUUAUGAAAUGUCAACUAAUUGCUUCUUCUGCUAUGACAGUAAACAAGAAUAUUCCACCAAAAGAUUCUAAACUGCACCAAAUAUGCUGUACUGUAUUAGACUAAACUUGAACAAUGGCUAAUUUAUCCAGGUCUUAGAUGUACUGAGGGACGAUACCAGAAAACCCGAAAGGUGGUGAAUUUCAUCUUUGCAAAACAAUCUUUGUUGUUAGUAUUUGGUAUUAAAUAUUUAAAAUCUUAUUUACUUUAUCAUAGACCGUAUUUCUGAAAUAAUAAAGGAUGGUGGUUUUGGUUUUUACCCUUGUUCAAUUCAGGUUUUUUUAAUUUAAAGUUCUAAAAUAACAUAUUCCACUGAUUUUAUUUGUCUUCACUGUACUGGAGAGUUUCAUUUUGAAAUUGACAUUUUAAUUUGGGCCUAGACAAAAUUCCUCAUUCAUCCUCGGUUGUUUAUCUUGCAAAAUAUUAAGAUCCCUGAGGAUUUUUAAUCUUGUAACUGGAAAACAAAUACUGAUUUUUAUUUGAAAGAGGAAAACAAUGCUGGGAAUAAUCCUGUUGACUCAAUAACAUUCAGUCCUUAGCAGUUCUAUAGUAUUCUGUGAGUUAUCCUAUUAGCGUUAUCGGCUUCACAAAGUGGUGAUAUAAACCAAACACACAUAGUUUUGUAGUAGAGAUCCCACUAAGAUGCUGUGUGACACUUCUAAUCACAUCCUUAAAUUAGAAAGUUCUGAGUCACUUUACAUCACUUUGUUCAAGUGAUGGUUAAAAGAAUAAGAUCUCAACUUUUUACAGUCCCUUACUGCAUGUAACUAAACUACCAUUGUCACAGUCACUACAUUGCUGUGUACAGCGCUAACAGUCUCAGCAAAAGGAUGUUUUUCAACAUCAAAAAUAAGAUGUACUAGUAACUGAAUAACUCAAUAUCUACAUUCCGUAUCUUACCCUGUCAUUUCCAACUUUCAGCAUCGGAAACCUGAGGGAUAUUUAUCCUAGUCGGGUUAGAGAAUAAACGUAGGAGGCACAUUUUAGUUCAAUGCAAAGCUGUCUCUACUUUUGUCACAAGUCUUAUUAAUGAGAUUCCACUUUUCAGUAUGUUUCUGAUGUACAUCAUAUGAUGAUAUAGUAGAUUUUUAACCUUUAUUAACAAGUCUAAACCUGCUUUCUAUUUUUUUAAUCUCUGCCAUUCUUAGUGUUGAUUUAAAUAUAGAGAUCUAAUUGAUUGCUUCUGGGCUCAUUUGACAAUUAUCCAUAGAAAUGUUUCCACAAGAAAAAGCAAACGACUUUAAACCCUAGGAAACAUUCUGUUGUCAUAAGGUGAUUUCCAUUGUCUAUUAUCCUUUCAGUGGUUAUUGUAUGGAUAACAAUCAAAUAUUCAAAUGCUUUAAUAGCUUUUUAUUUUGGAAAUUAGCAUACAAUUGGGACAGCAUGGGGUAGGACCCAGGGCUGUGAAUUAGGAGGCCUGCAGUCUAUUCCUAGUUCUGCCACUCCCCUGGUGUUUGACGUUGAGGAUGUCACUUAAUCUUUCUGUGUCUCAAUUUCCCCAUCUGUCAAAUAGGGAUAAUGUUACACUUCUCAAUAAAGUGCUUUGAAAGCUAGGACUGAAAAGUGCUAUAUAAAUGGUGUAUACAUAAUUCUCUGCUGAAAGGCUCAUUCUCCGGGAAGUGUACCUUGUAUCAUCCUCCUCCUUUAGAUACGCUCUGAGUCUGAGGGGGAAAAAAUUGCCAGGAUGAAUAGAGGUUGUGAUUUUUUUCAAACUGCCUAUGGAAGUUUGGCCCCUUUUGAAAAUACAAGCCUGCUAGUUAGCAAAGGAUAUGUCCUUUUAUUCAGUGACAGUGUCUAGAUUCCACGACCUCUGUUUCAUGUGCUGCAAUCCUGUUGCCUUAGCAACACACUACCUUAGCAACAAACUGAGCCAUUCCAUGGGUUUUAUUGUCACUCUGCAAAUCAGAGAAGAUUGCUGGCUUUGGGCAAUUUUGCCAUUUGAGGGAAAUAGUGGCAAGCCCACUUUAUAUAUGUUUCCAUUGACACCCACUGGGCACGACUCGCUACAGGCAGUCUGUAUAAUCUUUAUUCGAUGCACAUUAAAAUAUCUUUUAUUUUUUCAAAGGAGAUAGAAAAAUGUGGUGAGAUUCAUCCAGAGUUGGAGGCAGCAGCUUGGUUCUCAUAAAUCCAGAUUAACUAAAUCCUCUCUAUCUUUGCUGUAAAAGCUCUUGUGACUGAAUUGUGUGGCUGAUUCCCUGAGCAAAGGUGUUGCCGCUGACGCUUCUGACACUGAAAUUAUAGAGCCGCCCCGGUCGAAGGCCAUACAUGAUGCGUCCCUUUGAUCUGCUGUUGCUGUACGGGUUGAAGACUGUAAGGGGAUCUCUCGGGAACCAUUGCAACUCAAAGUCAUCAUAAUCUGUCCAGUCCGGGGGACCCAGCCAG